GAUGAACGCUAGCGGCAGGCUUAAUACAUGCAAGUCGAGGGGCAUCAAGGUACACGAAAGUGUAUUGUUGGCGACCGGCGGACGGGUGAGUAAUAGGUAGGUAACCUACCUCAUACUGAGGCAUAGCUGGGAGAAAUUCCAGGUAAUUCCUCAUGAGGUUAUAUGACACAUGUGAUAUAAUCAAAGGUAUCGCAAGGUACUGGUAUGAGAUGGCUUACUGACCAUUAGCUAGUUGGUGAGAUAAGAGCUCACCAAGGCGAAGAUGGUUAGGGGUUUUGAGAGAGAGAUCCCCCACAUUGGAACUGAGAUACGGUCCAGACUCCUACGGGAGGCAGCAGUAGGGAAUAUUGGGCAAUGGGCGGAAAGCCUGACCCAGCCAUGCCGCGUGAAAGGAAGACGGCCUUAUGGGUUGUAAAACUUCUUACUAUGUCGACUAACUAGAUUUAACGAAGAUAAAUUCUUAUAAGUAAUGUAGCAUAGCAAAA
rnacentral:rRNA from 1 species